UCACUCUUCAGACUCUUAUUCCAUUCUUCAUCACUUCUUCUUCAAAAUUCAAAGUACAAUCACUUUCUUAGAAUCUUAAACCUAUACCAAAGGCCGACUAACUUCUUUUCUCACUUCUCAAUCGACAAUCUCCAUCAAUUUCGGAUUCGAGUCGUUCAGAAGUUGACACGCGUAGAA